rnacentral:lncRNA from 1 species
GAUUUAAUGAGUAUGGGGGAGGUAAAUGGUAGAAAUAGCAAUGUGAACUACAUUUCCCAUGACCCCCUUCAGUCAACAUGUUUGAAUACUCACAUCAGAGCAGCAUUUUCUUGUUCAAUGUGUUGUUGCUUCUCCUCCAUGGAUUUGACACAAGCUUCAAAAACAUCAACAAACAACUUUAAGAAGUUACCUGAGCAGUUUCCCAACCACCAUUAUGCUACAGAAAUGCUGGAACAACAACACGGACAACCAAACGUCCUUUGGGAAGCAGAUCGCAUUUGGAUUGGGUUUUGUUCGGGCUGAGAUUCCAGAAAAUUCAGAAGACUCUAUGUUCCAGCUCUGACGCGGCUCACCUUCACCUCUCGAUUACUCACUUAAAUCCCUUCCUUCACCUCAUCAAGAA